rnacentral:rRNA from 1 species
UACGUAGGGGGCCAGCGUUGUCCGGAAUCAUUGGGCGUAAAGAGCGCGUAGGCGGCCAGAUAAGUCCGGUGUGAAAGUCACAGGCUCAACCUGUGAAUGCCGCUGGAAACUGCCUGGCUAGAGUCCGGAAGGGGCGAGUGGAAUUCCUGGUGUAGCGGUGAAAUGCGCAGAUAUCAGGAGGAACACCAAUGGCGAAGGCAGCUCGCUGGGACGGUACUGACGCUGAGGCGCGAAAGCGUGGGGAGCGAACAGG